GGGGAUUUAGCUCAGUGGUAGAGCGCUUGCCUAGCAAAUGCAAGGCCCUGGGUUCGGUCCCCAGCUCCG
rfam:Rattus norvegicus chromosome 7, whole genome shotgun sequence.